GACGGGGGGAUGCAAGUGUUAUCCGGAAUCACUGGGCGUAAAGCGUCUGCAGGUGGUUUUCUAAGUCGACUGUUAAACCUUGAGGCUCAACCUCAAAUCUGCAGUCGAAACUAGGAAACUGGAGGCUAGUAGGGGUAGAGGGAAUUUCCAGUGGAGCGGUGAAAUGCGUAGAGAUUGGAAAGAACACCGAUGGCGAAGGCACUCUACUGGGCUAGAACUGACACUCAGAGACGAAAGCUAGGGGAGCAAAUGGG
rnacentral:rRNA from 1 species